ACACACACACACACACAGUUAAUGCAGACUUGACACACUAUCAUUGAAAGGAGUUUCAGUUCUAACACAUGUUUGUGAGAGAGUUUCCUGCAGCAUUGUUACUGUGGAGCCACGUGUAGGAGCUUAAAAUGAGUGCAGGUAGCUUACAUAGGACAGAUGCAUGUUGGGUAACUUGUCGUAUGCUGUUGUAGUUCUUCAGAGCGAUCUUGUCAUUAUUGAACGCCAGAAUGUUGACCAAUUAUUCGUUGUUAGCACUCGAAUCGAAACAGACUUUACAGGUAACGGGUAAAAGAAUGACCAAAGUCAUCACACAUCUAAAAUGAAGCUUAUUUGGCAUUUUGUGUCUCUAUCUCUUUCUAGAUUAACUUCCGAUGUAAGCCAACCUACAGAGAGGGAGGAUCCCGCUGCAUGCGAGAUCAGAACAUGCUGAGACAUCACUGGGUUCACAGAAGAAGACAGGAGGGGAAAUGUAGACAGUGUGGAAAGAGUUUUCAACAGAAGUUCUUCCACAGUAAAGAAAUAAUCGCCAUCAGUUGUUCCUGGUGUAAACAGGCAUUCCACAAUAAGGUGACGUGUUUCAUGCUGCACCAGAUUGAGGAGCCAUGUUCACUGGGGGCCCACGCUGGAGUCAUAGUACCACCCUCCUGGAUCAUCAAAGUCAGGAAACCACAGGUGCACACAC